UACGAAGGGGGCGAGCGUUGUUCGGAUUUACUGGGCGUAAAGGGCGCGCAGGCGGCUUAUUUUGUCAGGCGUGAAAGCCCCGGGCUUAACCUGGGAACUGCGUUUGAUACGGAUGGGCUAGAGUUCGGGAGAGGAGAGUGGAAUUCCCAGUGUAGAGGUGAAAUUCGUAGAUAUCGGGAGGAACAUCAGUGGCGAAGGCGGCUGCCUGGCCCAAUACUGACACUCAGGUGCGACAGCGUGGGGAGCAAACAGG
rnacentral:rRNA from 1 species